CCUACGGGGGGCAGCAGUGAGGAAUAUUGGUCAAUGGACGAGAGUCUGAACCAGCCAAGUAGCGUGAAGGAUGACUGCCCUAUGGGUUGUAAACUUCUUUUAUAAAGGAAUAAAACGAGGCACGUGUGCCUUUUUGCAUGUACUUUAUGAAUAAGGAUCGGCUAACUCCGUGCCAGCAGCCGCGGUAAUACGGAGGAUCCGAGCGUUAUCCGGAUUUAUUGGGUUUAAAGGGAGCGUAGAUGGGUUGUUAAGUCAGUUGUGAAAGUUUGAGGCUCAACCGUAAAAUUGCAAUUGAUACUGGUAGUCUUGAGUACAGUUGAGGUAGGCGGAAUUCGUGGUGUAGCGGUGAAAUGCUUAGAGAUCACGAAGAACCCCGAUUGCGAAGGCAGCUUACUAAACUGUUACUGACAUUGAUGCUCGAAAGUGUGGGUAUCAAACAGGAUUAGAUACCCCGGUAGUC
rnacentral:rRNA from 1 species